UAUUUCGAAGAAUAUUUUUAAAUGUAAACUAAAUAAUAUCUAAAAUUAUUGAGUAGAUUAAAAUUUAUUUCAAUGCAACUUGGCCUGAUUGAAUGGACUUUUAGAGGAUAUUUUUACAUUAAAAAAAAGAAAAAAUCUUAGAUCGACAUUAGUCUUUUCUAAAAUUUACAAAAUAAAUUCUAGUCAACUUUUUUACGAUCAGCCUCUAGUCUUAAGGCUCCGUCACACAGGUGCGUUUUGGGGCCGGCGCGUGAGCGGGGCGCGCAGCUUUUACAUUUAAAACGCCCCGCCCGGAAACGCGCCUGUGUGACGGAACCUUUAUAGUACCUACAAUAUCGAUAAGAAUCUGCCAUCUACCCCUAUAUUUAAAAGUAUAAAACUUUGCUUCUAUGAUAGGUACUUAAAAACCAAUCCAGACGGGAUGAUCAAAUCGGCCAAUUUGAUUAGAAACCAAAUUGGCGUCAAUCUCCAAUUAAAUCAUCAAUUUAUGGUAAUAUUUAAGCUUUCUUAAUUAAAAAAAUGCACCCAAACGAAAAUACUAGAAUUAUCAUAGUUGCAAAUUGGUAUUCUUGCGUCCGCACCUCCAUUUUAUCGGUACCGGUCAUAAUCGGCGGUCGAAAUUGACGAGCCAAAUUGGCGUUUGUCGGACGGCCUGAUUUGAUCGGACAAUUUAAUCAGAUUGGCUCCCGUCUGGGCGGGCUUUAACAAAGUCCGCCAAUAGUAAAAUUAUAUAUGUAAUACAAAUAGCGCUCAAAUGGGCCCCUGAACUAAUAAUUAAGAUUCAAAAUACAUAGUAUUGUAUAACCAAUUUUGUAAGAAUAUCUUGAUGCUUGUAAAUUGCAAGGUUGUAAUAAAAACUGGCUGCAAAUGUCAGAAAGAACUAUAUCGGACUUUUACCGUUAGCAAUUAAGUACCGGUAUUAAAUACUCCGGUACCAGUAUCAAAUACUAUCGGUAAUUACGAUACACGUUGUGCAGUGUUAUGAGUUGGUUAUAAAAUAAAACUGCUGAAAACAUUACCGGUAUUAAAUUUUGCUUUAUGUGCGAAAGUGCAAUUUAAAGAUAUUGUGGGUGUUUUAGUUCUUCUGGUAUUGCGAAAGAAAGAAUCAUUAAAUACUAUUUAGCCCACUAACUAUCUAUAUAUGUGUGAGCAGUAUUACUGAAUCUUCGUUUUUAUAGGAUGUGAAUAUCGUUAUCGACAUACAUUGUAUCAUUAUAUAUGUCGGCGGCCGAUCGUAAGAUCAGGCAUGUCGUUAAAUUCGUAGGCAUAUCGUGAAACGUGAAAAUCUUUAACUCGUUCCCUGAGCCGACGGAGCCCCGCUAGGGGCUCCUAUUUCUGGGCAGUUUGCCCUUCGGGCAUCUGAAGCAACCUAACGAACCUAUGCUACCUAUAUAUUGGUUUAAUGUGACUAUCGUCAAAACAUUACACAGGAACAUUGCGAUCUGCCUGAUCUUACGAUCGGCCCCCGACAUAUACGCACAUUUUCAUCUAUUGCAUAGGAAGAGAUGCUUUGUCUGUAACUAUAGAAGUGUGCUAGAACGUACGUAUUAAGGCCUCUCCACACGUCACAAUAAUCGCAUGCGAUUUGCAAUACAUUGCGGCAUUUGGUCGAUCGAUUCAAUUCGUUGCUCCAACUUAGCCAGCAAUUAUCUAAAAUGGCAUGCCGUUUGUUGUAACGUCUGUAGAAGCUUUUGUUCAACUUAAAAGCCGUUACAGACGGGCGUACCGGACCGCGACCGUGGCCCGGUUUGAGGCCUGUUCAAUCGUGUGUCAAGUGUGUGUGGUCCGCCGUAUGUCCGUUAAUGAUGCAGCUAUACGUAAGAGCGAGAAAGAGAUAUUUUGACCGGACCAAGGUCACGGUCCUGUACGACCGUCUGUUAUAGCUUUAACGUUGAAGAUACUAUCGUUAGUUAAAUGUUUGUUGAAUCGCCCUCAGUGUUGUAGUUUACACGCACUGUGUAGAUCUAUGUCAUAAAUGGCAAAAUAUCUAAGUGUUGUGUGCCUAGAUCAAAGAAAUAGGUUCUCGGUACAAAAGUUGCCCUUUCACUCAACAUGUCUUAACACAUUCACUCCCAAGAACCCGCUAAGUGGGUUCAUUUUAUAUUGGAAGUGGGGCUGAAAGUGUAUACCACCGGUAGGUUUAACUACACGGUAGAAACUUCUCUAAAACUUAUUUCUAAACUAUGUUUUAUCAAGCAGAUACGUCUUGUAGCGACUAAAAAAAAAUUAAAAGCAAAAUCAUAAAAUGCACUGCUUAUGGCAAGAUUCAAAGUUGCGAUGUUUCUGAUGUCUCUAGGCGUGUACCGGUAUCCCAAAAGCUUGCAAGUCCGAAUCUUGCCAAAAGCAGUGAAUUUUUCCUUUUUUCUAAAGUUAUUACAUACUAAACAUUUUACUUAGGGGCUGUCUAUAAAUUACGUCAUCGAUUUUUGACGAUUUUUGGACCUCAUCCAUGGAAAUCAUGCUUCGAAUGACCCUGUUUCCUCCUACGUCGUGCUACCAUCAUCCGAUGUCCAGACCCCCUCCCCUUCCUAAUUUGUAAUGACAUAAUUUAUGAAUAGCCCCCUAUCAGAACAGGUGAUUCUUAAAUUUUGCUUUUGUAGUUUUGUACGAAAAGUAUAAGUACGAAAAGUAUAAAUAUAUGUACCGGGAACUUUUUUCUACCCCAGCACCUAGUUUAAGUGACUGGGCAUAACGACAUCAGUCAUUAGAUUCAUUAGUACUCUUGUGACCAAAGAAACUAAUAUAUUUUUGUAGUAAUAAUGAAUUUUACAUGAACUUUUUCUAAUGAUAAACUUUGGAUCCGACCACAUAGCAGCACCUACUUAUCUGGUAAUCCUGAACUCUCUGCCUUAUGCUCUGGGCUAUAACUGCGAAAAUCGAAGUUCGCAAUUUGUGGGCAUUUUUCUUUGUCACUCUAAUUACGCCUUCAUUGGAGUAAAAGAGAAAGAUCCCCGCAAUUUGCGAAUUUCGGUUUUCGCGGUAAUCCAUCUGGCACCGAUAAUCGAUUCAGUCGAUUAAAAUCGUUAUUUAUACAUUAAAUACUUAGCCAGCAUUUAGCCUGGUGAGAGUCUUUUGACGUUUUAAUUUUCUACAGUUAGGUAACGUGAUGAUUUCCUUUAGCUAGUUAACUAUUAGGUUUCUAGGUUUCAAUUUUCUGUAUACCGGUACCGGUAUCAAAAAGCAUUUGACCGGGAAACCGGAUAAAUGGUGUUGCUUAUGUAAUUUAGAAAUUAUAAAAUCAAGUAUCAAAAUUGGUUGUGUCCACCAAUGUUGCCGUCUAUAGUUUUGCCAUUUUGUAAGAAAAAUAUAUGUAAAAUGGUGUUUUAGUGUUUAGUGGUACCGAGCCAUUUGCCAUUACUUAUAGUUACAUAAUAAAACAGGCACAAAUAUAGAUGGUCAAGCAGAUCUUGUCUGUAGAAAAAGGCGCGAAAUUCAAAUUUUCUAUCAAACGAUUUCCCUUCGCGCCUACAUUUUUCAAAUUCGCCGCCUUUUUCUACUGACAAGAUCUGCUUGACGAACUAUAUGUACUCUUAUUUCUAUAUUGCUUUUUACCUCAAUUUUUAGUUUUUUUUUAUUUCAUUACGAAAUAAAGUACUUAUUCGUGCGUAGUUGAUUGCCAACAAUGUCCCUUAUCUCCAUGCACUAGGGUUCUUAUCUGAGUGUACAUAGGAGGCUGUUCUGUCUACAAUGGAUAUGUCAUUUUGUAAAAGCUUUUGUAAUAAACUUUCCUAAUGUAAA